rnacentral:rRNA from 1 species
AUGCGCGCGAACACGCUGAGAGCAGCAAUGGCGACGGCGAGGAUGGCGGUGUCGUCGCUGUCGUCGCCGGCAAGGGCGCUCUCGUCCGCGGCCGCGGCCCCUCCCGCCUCCGGCGUGUCCAUGGUGCAGGGCGCGUCGCGCGGCAUCGGGCUCGAGUUCGUGAGGCAGCUGCUGCGGCGGAGCGACCAGGGCCGCGUCGUCGCGACGUGCCGCGCCCCCGACUCCGCCGCCGAGCUCCAGGAGCUGAGGCGGGAGCACGCGGGGCGCCUCACCGUGCUGCCCCUGGACGUCACCGACGAGAGCACCAUAGAGGCCGCCGCAGCCGCAGUUGGGGAGACCCACGGAUCUCUCGACCUACUGAUCAAUGCCGCCGGCAUACUUUCGAUCCCAAAUGUGAUACAGCCAGAGACCUCGUUGAGCAAAGUUCAGAAGUCAUCCCUGCUACUGGCAUAUGAAGUCAAUGCCGUCGGUCCUAUUCUAGUCAUCAAGCAUAUGCGUCCGUUCCUGAAGAUUGGUGCGAGCUUGGAAACAGGGAAAGGUUUCUCGUUGGUUGCAAAUAUGAGCGCUAGGGUUGGCUCGAUAGGAGACAAUGCUCUGGGAGGCUGGCAUUCGUACAGAGCUUCUAAAACAGCACUGAAUCAAUUGACAAAGACUGCAUCAGUCGAGUUGGGCAAGAAGGACAACAUCGCCUGCAUUUUGCUGCAUCCAGGAACAGUCGACACCGAUCUCUCACGGCCGUUCCAGAGAAACGUGGCCAAAGAUAAGCUCUUCACGAGGGAGUUCUCUGUACAGAAGCUCCUGUCUAUCAUCGACAAUGCCAAGAAGACUGACAACGGGAAGUUCUUCGCUUGGGAUGGCCAAGAAAUUCCUUGGUGA